rnacentral:tRNA from 1 species
GGAGGGGUGGCCGAGUGGUUAAAGGCAACAGAUUGUAAAUCUGUCCUCUUAAGAGUUCGCUGGUUCGAAUCCAGCUCCCUCCACCA